rnacentral:rRNA from 1 species
CAGGCCUAACACAUGCAAGUCGAACGGGAAGUGGUGUUUCCAGUGGCGAACGGGUGAGUAACACGUGGGUGAUCUGCCCCGCACUUCGGGAUAAGCCUGGGAAACUGGGUCUAAUACCGGAUACGACCCCCUGGUAGGUCAGGGGGUGGAAAGAUUUAUCGGUGUGGGAUGAGCCUGCGGCCUAUCAGCUUGUUGGUGGGGUAAUGGCCUACCAAUGCGUCUACGGGUAGCCGGCCUGAGAGGGUGAUCGGCCACAUUGGGACUGAGACACGGCCCAGACUCCUACGGGAGGCAUCAGUGGGGAAUAUUGCACAAUGGGCGCAAGCCUGAUGCAGCGACGCCGCGUGGGGGAUGACGGCCUUCGGGUUGUAAACUCCUUUCGACAGGCACGAAGCUUUGGUGACGGUACCUGUACAAGAAGCACCGGCUAACUACGUGCCAGCAGCCGCGG